GGAUUGUGCAAUUGUUAAUAGUGUUGUUUGGGUUGUCUAAGUCCUACCAAACUUUGUGUCCAGUUAUUUUAUCAGUUGUUAAGGGAGGGAUAUUAAGCCUUCUUUAGAAUAUAGCCAGAGUUCCCUUCCCAAAACACGUUUUAAAUCACGCUACCCUUCUCUUCAAAAACUGGCAGGGGACCCAGCACAUGCAGGGCAAAGCCAAACUCCACAGCAUGGCUUUCCAGGCCUCCAGGAUCCAGCCGUGCCUGCUAAUCCAGCCUCACCUGUCAAGAGUGUGACCAAGGCGUCCACGGAGGACCUCACUGCUGAUGAGUGCACACGUGGUGGAGGAUGGGGACGUCAGGGAAGGGGGUUCAUUCUCCCAGCCCUUCCUCAAGCAUGACAAGCCACACUCCAGUGAUCUCCAGAACUUCAACUGUGUUAACACUUUGAAAGUGCCCCAUGUGGGACAGCGACUUAAGAGUGUCACUUAUUGUCUGGCAAUCUUCAGCUCCUAAAGUGUCAGUCUUUGGUUUCUGGCUAUUUCUCAAAUUGACAUAGGCAGUGAAGGGAAGCAAUGUAACACCGUGAUAUCACGUCGCACACAGGCUUCUUUCCAGUUUCUGAAGAGGAAUUUGAGAUGAUGUUUGGAUAAGCGACAGGAGUUACAGAAUACGUGAGUGGAUACAGGAGAGGCCUCUUUGAAGACCAAUAAUUAAGUGGCCGUCGACAGUUAAGUAAAGUUGAUUUACUCUGGCAUUGCCAAACUUUUCAGUUUCUCUUGUAGGGCCUCCAGGCUCCAGCCCUGGGGCGCUUGCUCAGGCAGCUCCUUCGGUGUAGGAUGCCAUCUCUCCUGUCCUUCACCUUUUGGAACUGAGCUCGUCAUUCAAAACCCUACUUCAAUGCCUCCUCCUCCAUAAAGCCUUCCUUGAUUUCCUUCUCAGAGUCGCUUCCCCCCACCCCCACCCACCACUGCCCCAUGAGCGUUUGCUCACAUCCUAUUUCAGUAUAACAUGAUGGAAGUAAAGAGAGGCUCUGGAGACAGACUCGAGUGUGUAUCCUGAGUUUGCCACAUGUUAGAUUUAAGAUAUUGGGCCAGUUACUUAACCUUUCCAAGUGCCUGUUUUCUCAUCUGUGAAGUGGAGUUAAUAAUGGGAACUUCCUCGUAAGUUGUCAUGGGAAUUAAACGAGUUGAUACAUGCAAGGUACUGUAGCACUGGCAUGGAAUAGACGCUAGAUUGAUGCCGGCAGCUGUGAUGAUGAUGGGCUGACCAUGACCGUGAUUACUUGAUUAAUUUUUACCUGUCUCGCCUUCUGCACUAUAACCUCCUGGAAGAAGGAAACUGUGUCUGGUUUCUGUGUCCCACACAUCUAUCAUGCACCUGGACCACGUCCCAACCAGUGGUUUCUGGAAACGCCCAGGAAGAAUUUCACCUCGUUCACAUGGUUUUUCAAGAUGGAAGUCCUGAGGAGCCGUUCUCACAUAAAUAAGUCAACAGGAAUGGAAGAAGUUCGGCUUCAGAAGUCACUCAAUUCUUUGGCCAUCUUCUAAGCUAUGUGCCAAAAGUCGCACAGUUACCUUUUGUCAAAAGUGAUUUUUAAUACUCUAUCAGCACAAUUAGGUCCUUCUUCAAUUUAGUUGGAAGAAUUAGAAACCAUUUGACUAAGAAAAGGGCAAUUAGCCAUGGGUACUUCUAACUGUCCCUUUGUUGGGCACUCUGAGGUGUUUACACCCUGAGGCAAGUCACCACCAUCAGAGGGUGACGGCACUGCCUUCCCUUUGUGAGGUGGGAGGCGGCAGAAGAGAGCACAGAAGCC
ensembl:lncRNA